ACAGCUACCUGUCUUCCUUGGCUUGAAUACCUUGGGCAGGGUGCUUGCUUCUGCACAAUCAACUCAUCUCAGAUCCAAGGAUCACUUCUUGACAAAAGGGUCAUACCCAGAGCAUAUGAACAUUCCCAGGUCCAGGUUUGGGAUCGAAUCGGUGCUGCAGCUGCUGGCCACACCACAGCCACAGCGAUGCUGGAUCAGAGCCAUGUCUGCAUCCUACACCACAGCUCACAGCAAUGCUGGAUCCUUAAUCCACUGAGUGGGGCCAGGAAUCGAACCUGGGUCCUCAUGGAGACUGGCCAGGUUCAUUACCCUGAGCCAGAGCAGGGACUCCAAGAAAUAAUUUUUUAAAGGGGAAAACUUGUGUGCCUGAGUAGUGAGGUCACUGCAUUUGAAGUUCAUGUACUUUAUUUGGAGAACUGAUAAAUCAGGCUAGUUCUCUGUUUCCCAGAGUAUAAUCUCCUUGCUUUUUACCUCUGUUUAAUUUUCUUCUAUUUUCUGCCUGGUGUCUUCCUUCUCUCGAAUAUGUUUCUAUAUUUUUCUCUUUUCUCUCAGGUUUGUAUUUCUCGCUAUGGUGUUUUUCUCUUUUUCCUUUUUCUUUUCCUCUAUUUACCUUUCCCCUCAGUUUUAAUGAAUAUUUGCUAGAUACUUAUUUCAGACUAAGGAGUGGGCCAGGUACUUAAAGAAAUAUAGGGAAAGCCUUUGCCCUUCAAGAAAAUAAGCUCUUCUGUGGAAUCUGUUAUCUCUCCUUUCAAUAACCGUAACAGAAAAUAGUUAUUUGUCCUGAUUUUUGUCUUGUGUUCCUCAUAGUUAACUGGGGGGGAAAAAAAGCAAACUGAUUAUGUUCUAUUUCUUAUUGGAAAGAACCAAAAAAUAAUAUAGGUGGGUUUGUUUUUUGUACCUUUAUGUGACAAUUAAUUUUUUACUUUUUACAUCAAUGAAACUUGGCUGAAAAAAAAUUUUUUUCUCAUAGACCCACAGACAUAAAAAAUAAAUUUAUGGUUCCCAAAGGAGAAGUGGGAGAGGGAUAAAACAGAAGGAUGGUAUUGAUGAUAUAUGCACACUACUAUAUAUAAUUUACAUAACCAACAAGGACCUACUGCAUAGCACAGGCAACUGUAGUCAAUAUUUUAUAAAAAUCUAUAAAGGAAAAGAAUCUAAAAAAGAAUGUGUGUGUGUGUGUGUGUGUGUGUGCGUAUUUGCUAAAUUACUGUGCCAUACACCUGAAACUAACACAACCUUGUAAAUCAGCUAUAAUUUUUUAAAAUAUUUUUUCUAUAUCCUUGCAUUACUCCUUUGUCUUUGACAUGAGAAACAUUUUAGGAAUAGGCUCAGGUGCUCUAGAAAGCCUACUGGUUUGUCUGUGUUAUCAGUAAGCAAUGCCACAUGCUCAGCUAAUAUUCAACACCUGUUGGUCUUUCACAGUGCGAACUGUAUAAAGCCAAUGGCCCUCAAUUCAGCCUGCAUGGACUCACCCACAUGGCUGGUUAAAUCACCCAUUUCUGGGUCUUACCCCCCAGAGUUUCUGACUCAGCAAGCCUGAGAAUUUGUUUUUCUAACAGGUUCUGUCUGCAGUGAUGCUGCUGCUGCUGGUCUGGGGACCACGUUUUGAGAACCACUAUAUUCAACUGAACUUCAGGUAGUUAAAGAGAGAAUUUUGCCUGCAGGGCAUUGGUAGCAGGUCUAAUCACCUAUGCUCAUUUUUAGGGUUCAGAAUAGCGAACUGUAAAAUCAACGUUUAAAUAAAAAUAUGAUUUAA
rnacentral:lncRNA from 1 species